AAUUUUAAUUUCCUGCCCAGGCUGUAAUUUUAAUUUCCCUUGGAUGCUUGGCAAAGCCCUUCUGGGGGAGCCCUAGUGCCUGGCAUGAGCGGAGCGGGCUUCCAGGGAGGUAUUCACCUGGUCAGCGUCAGGAACCAUCCUCCCUGAAGCCUCGGCUCCCUCUUUCCCUUCGGUUGCCACGUGUGUGCCGGACACCUCUGGCAGGACUAACCCUGUGGCUUUUAUGUCCAACGUGCUGUGUGCCUGCAGUAUCCUGUCCAAGACCAAGCUACCUUUCCUCGUUGGAAUGGACUGGCCGGGCUUUGGCAGUCUGGCCCCUCGAAAGACUAAAGUGACCUCUUCCAGCAGGGGAAGACUUUCUGGCAAGCGGUACCAGAAAGAACUGGAGUUUCUGGAGAAUAAAAGCUGGAGGUGUGCCCCCGAUAAUCCUCGCCCCGGGUGGUGAGUGGUCUGACUUGCAGGGACCGGUGGCCUUGGCCAGGAGCGGUCCUGCCGGACUGUAAUUUUAAUUUCCUGCCUAGGCUGUAAUUUUAAUUUCCUUUGGAUGCUUGGCAAAGCCCUUCUGGGGGAGCCCUAGUGCCUGGCAUGAGCGGAGCGGGCUUCCAGGGAGGUAUUCACCUGGUCAGCGUCAGGAACCAUCCUCCCUGAAGCCUCGGCUCCCUCUUUCCCUUCGGUUGCCGUGGAUGUGCCGGACACCUCUGGCAGGACUAACCCUGUGGCUUUUAUGUCCAACGUGCUGUGUGCCUGCAGGUAAGAAAAGCUGGGAGUGCAGUCCCUCUGCUUUGCUUGCUGUGUCUCUUGGGUAGUGAUUUUGGAGGGGAAUCCCAGAGCGAUUUGGUUUGAAGGGGACCUUCAAAGGCCACCCUGUCUUCCGUGGGCAGGGACACCUUC